AGAGUUUGAUCAUGGCUCAGGAUGAACGCUGGCGGCGUGCCUAAUACAUGCAAGUCGAGCGGUAAGGCUUUCACUCUGUAUUUAAUGAGUUGAAUAUAGUGUGAAAGUACACGAGCGGCGGACGGCUGAGUAACGCGUAGGAACGUACCCCAAAGUGAGGGAUAAGCACCGGAAACGGUGUCUAAUACCGCAUGUGAUCUUCGGAUUAAAGCUUUAUGCGCCUUGGGAGCGGCCUGCGUAAGAUUAGUUUGUUGGUGAGGUAAUGGCUCACCAAGACUACGAUCUUUAGCUGGUCUGAGAGGAUGAUCAGCCAGACUGGGACUGAGACACGGCCCAGACUCCUACGGGAGGCAGCAGUAGGGAAUUUCCACAAUGGACGAAAGUCUGAUGGAGCAACGCCGCGUGCAGGAUGAAGGCCUUCGGGUUGUAAACUGCUUUUAUCUGUGACGAUUAUGACGGUAGCAGAUGAAUAAGGAUCGGCUAACUCCGUG
rnacentral:rRNA from 1 species